rnacentral:rRNA from 1 species
GUUGAACGCUGGCGGCAGGCCUAACACAUGCAAGUCGAACGGUAACAGGAAGCAGCUUGCUGCUUCGCUGACGAGUGGCGGACGGGUGAGUAAUGUCUGGGAAACUGCCUGAUGGAGGGGGAUAACUACUGGAAACGGUAGCUAAUACCGCAUAACGUCGCAAGACCAAAGAGGGGGACCUUCGGGCCUCUUGCCAUCGGAUGUGCCCAGAUGGGAUUAGCUAGUAGGUGGGGUAACGGCUAACCUAGGCGACGAUCCCUAGCUGGUCUGAGAGGAUGACCAGCCACACUGGAACUGAGACACGGUCCAGACUCCUACGGGAGGCAGCAGUGGGGAAUAUUGCACAAUGGGCGCAAGCCUGAUGCAGCCAUGCCGCGUGUAUGAAGAAGGCCUUCGGGUUGUAAAGUACUUUCAGCGGGGAGGAAGGCGAUAAGGUUAAUAACCUUGUCGAUUGACGUUACCCGCAGAAGAAGCACCGGCUAACUCCGUGCCAGCAGCCGCUGUAA